UCGAGUUACCACUCUACAACCCUUGUGAACAUACCUAUACUGUUGCUUCGGCGGCAGGGGUCCCCGGACGCCCCCGCCCGCCCCCGUAAACAGGGGACGUGGCCCCGCCGGAGGACCCCUAACUCUAGUUUUACGGACGUUCUUCUGAGUGCAACAACAAAUAAUUA
rnacentral:misc_RNA from 1 species